rnacentral:lncRNA from 1 species
AGAAAAUAAAAUGGGUCCAGGAUCCAUAAUCCCUUUGCAGAUCGCAUCUUCAGUAAUUUACCUGCUUCCUACUAGGCCCAGUCUUUGAAGGUCCUACCACAUUCCCUGGGAGACAAAGCCUUGAAUUCAUGGGCUUUGGCAAAACAUUCUACACCCAGCCACGGCAUAGGCCAACUUUGUUUUUCUGUUGUGGGCAAAGAGGAGCAGAGCCCAGUCUGGGAACUCCGGAAGCUGUUGCAGUUGGGAAUCCUCUUAUUUCUUUGUGUCCGCUAGGAUCAUCUGACCUGGACCCCUCUCCCCUACCACAUACGUAACCUUUGCCAUGGGACUCGUUGCUGGACAUGAACAAGGAGUUUGGAGUUCUACUACGUCUCACCUUCAUGGUCCCUUCCUCCUGGCUGCCCUGACUUCUGAGGUCUUUGGUUCCUGAGCCUGGAAAUUGCCCAGUUUCCAGAACACAGGUCAAAUCUGCAAUGGUGGGAGGAGCUGGAACACAACACAGCAGGGGCCACACCAGAACCCAGACUUCAUCCUUCCCAACAGCUGCAACUGCUUGUGAAGAUACAGAACAUCUGCGGGAGUAGUUGGUCCAAGUCUGUCACCCACCUCUCCCAUCUCCAGAGAUUCUGUGUACAGGGACUGGGAGGUGUGACUCUCUCCAGGCCUCCUCCCUCCCCUGAUGCUCUGAGGACUGGAAGCUUUUAGGACUUUGAACCCAGGUGGUAGAAGGAGAGAAUUCACUCUGAAAGUUGGACUAUGGCUUCCACCCAUGUGUAAGUUGAAGAUACGGAGAUGAAGAAGCUGUGGUCCUCCCCCUUAACUUAAUGGUAAUUGAAAGGGCUGAAUAGAUGAGCCAGCAGCCACUGAUGCAUACAAGAUAAAGGCUGCCACUGCCCUUGGCCUCAGUUGCAACAAACCUGCAAGAGGUGGGGUGCUGUUUACAACUCACAGAUCAUGAAGGAAGACUUGUGGCAAGCACGGGACAACAUUCAGUGUGUGACUUUAAAGACUGGCAAACCAAGGAUCGGAUGAUAUCCCCUGACUUUUUGAGGGUUUGACCCAUUUGCUGCCAUCUUCUGAAGCUGUGGAAACUGUACUUUGGGGUUUCAGCAAUGAUCCUCUGGCUUUUUGACAUUUAGGAACCUCUUCAUCCAUUUUCUGUUGUGAUAACAAAAAUGCCUAAAAGCAGGUCAGUUUAUUUCCUGUUGACUGAAGAUCAAGAUGUAGGACUCUGAGCGCCUUCUCCAGCACCAUGUCUGCUGCCAUGUCCCACCAUGAUGACAAUGGACUGAACCUCUGUAAGCUACCCUCUGCUGUGAUAUUUUGGUGAAAAAUGUGGCUGCUUUUUGCUCUUGCCCAAAAAGUCUGCCUGAGGUUAAAUUGAAGAGAUUUGGAUUAAUCCCAUUGGCAGAAGAAAUCUCAAAACAGCCUCGGAUUGACUCUGUCAUGUGGUUAUUAGUGUUAAUGCUA